rnacentral:rRNA from 1 species
GACGAACGCUGGCGGUGUGCUUAACACAUGCAAGUCGAACGGUAAGGCCCUUUCGGGGGUACACGAGUGGCGAACGGGUGCGUAACACGUGAGUAACCUGCCCUCAUCUCUGGGAUAACAGUCGGAAACGGUUGCUAAUACUGGAUAUGAGCUUGCAAGGCAUCUUGUGGGUUGGAAAGAUUUUUUUGGUUGGGGAUGGACUCGCGGCCUAUCAGCUUGUUGGUGAGGUAGUGGCUCACCAAGGCUUCGACGGGUAGCCGGCCUGAGAGGGCGACCGGCCACAUUGGGACUGAGAUACGGCCCAAACGCCUACGGGAGGCAGCAGUGGGGAAUAUUGCACAAUGGACGGAAGUCGGAUGCAGCAACGCCGCGUGCGGGAUGACGGCCUUCGGGUUGGAAACCGCUUUCAAUUGUGACGAAGCUUUUUGUGACGGUAGCAGUAGAAGAAGCACCGGCUAACUACGUG